rnacentral:rRNA from 1 species
GACUGCCUAUGGGUUGUAAACCUCUUUUUUCAGGGAGGAAAAAAAUGACGUGUACCUGAAGAAUAAGCAUCGGCUAACUCCGUGCCAGCAGCCGCGGUAAGACGGAGGAUGCAAGUGUUAUCCGGAAUCACUGGGCGUAAAGCGUCUGUAGGUGGUUAAAUAAGUCAACUGUUAAAUCUUGAGGCUUAACUCCAAAAUCGCAGUCGAAACUAUUUGACUUGAGUAUAGUAGAGGUAAAGGGAAUUUCCAGUGGAGUGGUGAAAUGCGUAGAUAUUGGAAAGAACACCGAUGGCGAAGGCACUUUACUGGGCUAUUACUAACACUCAGAGACGAAAGCUAGGGUAGCAAAUGGGAUUAGAUACCCCAGUAGUCCUAGCCGUAAACAAUGGAUACUAGAUGUUGAACAGAUCGACCUGUGCAGUAUUAAAGCUAACGCGUUAAGUAUCCCGCCUGGGAGGUAUGCUCGCAAGAGUGAAACUCAAAGGAAUUGACGG